rnacentral:rRNA from 1 species
GCAUAACGCGAAGAACCUUACCAGCCCUUGACAUCCCGGUCGCGGUUACCAGAGAUGGUUUCCUUCAGUUCGGCUGGACCGGUGACAGGUGCUGCAUGGCUGUCGUCAGCUCGUGUCGUGAGAUGUUGGGUUAAGUCCCGCAACGAGCGCAACCCUCGCCCUUAGUUGCCAUCAUUCAGUUGGGCACUCUAAGGGGACUGCCGGUGAUAAGCCGAGAGGAAGGUGGGGAUGACGUCAAGUCCUCAUGGCCCUUACGGGCUGGGCUACACACGUGCUACAAUGGCGGUGACAAUGGGCAGCUAACCCGCGAGGGUGAGCUAAUCUCCAAAAACCGUCUCAGUUCGGAUUGCACUCUGCAACUCGAGUGCAUGAAGUUGGAAUCGCUAGUAAUCGUGGAUCAGCAUGCCACGGUGAAUACGUUCCCGGGUCUUGUACACACCG